rnacentral:rRNA from 1 species
GGGUUGUGAGGUUAAGCGACUAAGCGUACACGGUGGAUGCCCUGGCAGUCAGAGGCGAUGAAGGGCGUGCUAAUCUGCGAUAAGCGCCGGUAAGGUGAUAUGAACCGUUAUAACCGGCGAUACCCGAAUGGGGAAACCCAGUGUGAUUCGUCACACUAUCAUUAACUGAAUCCAUAGGUUAAUGAGGCGAACCGGGGGAACUGAAACAUCUAAGUACCCCGAGGAAAAGAAAUCAACCGAGAUUCCCCCAGUAGCGGCGAGCGAACGGGGAGGAGCCCAGAGCCUGAAUCAGCAUGUGUGUUAGUGGAAGCGUCUGGAAAGGCGCGCGAUACAGGGUGACAGCCCCGUACACAAAAGCGCAUGUGCUGUGAGCUCGAUGAGUAGGGCGGGACACGUGGUAUCCUGUCUGAAUAUGGGGGGACCAUCCUCCAAGGCUAAAUACUCCUGACUGACCGAUAGUGAACCAGUACCGUGAGGGAAAGGCGAAAAGAACCCCGGCGAGGGGAGUGAAAAAGAACCUGAAACCGUGUACGUACAAGCAGUGGGAGCNNNNNNNNNNNNNNNNNNNNNNNNNNNNNNNNNNNNNNNNNNNNNNNNNNNNNNNNNNGGGCGUUAAGUUGCAGGGUAUAGACCCGAAACCCGGUGAUCUAGCCAUGGGCAGGUUGAAGGUUGGGUAACACUAACUGGAGGACCGAACCGACUAAUGUUGAAAAAUUAGCGGAUGACCUGUGGCUGGGGGUGAAAGGCCAAUCAAACCGGGAGAUAGCUGGUUCUCCCCGAAAGCUAUUUAGGUAGCGCCUCGUGAAUUCAUCUCCGGGGGUAGAGCACUGUUUCGGCUAGGGGGCCAUCCCGGCUUACCAACCCGAUGCAAACUGCGAAUACCGGAGAAUGUUAUCACGGGAGACACACGGCGGGUGCUAACGUCCGUCGUGAAGAGGGAAACAACCCAGACCGCCAGCUAAGGUCCCAAAGUCAUGGUUAAGUGGGAAACGAUGUGGGAAGGCCCAGACAGCCAGGAUGUUGGCUUAGAAGCAGCCAUCAUUUAAAGAAAGCGUAAUAGCUCACUGGUCGAGUCGGCCUGCGCGGAAGAUGUAACGGGGCUAAACCAUGCACCGAAGCUGCGGCAGCGACACUGUGUGUUGUUGGGUAGGGGAGCGUUCUGUAAGCCUGCGAAGGUGGCCUGUGAGGGUUGCUGGAGGUAUCAGAAGUGCGAAUGCUGACAUAAGUAACGAUAAAGCGGGUGAAAAGCCCGCUCGCCGGAAGACCAAGGGUUCCUGUCCAACGUUAAUCGGGGCAGGGUGAGUCGACCCCUAAGGCGAGGCCGAAAGGCGUAGUCGAUGGGAAACGGGUUAAUAUUCCCGUACUUGGUGUUACUGCGAAGGGGGGACGGAGAAGGCUAUGUUGGCCGGGCGACGGUUGUCCCGGUUUAAGCGUGUAGGUGUGUGUUCCAGGUAAAUCCGGUUCACUUUAACACUGAGGCGUGACGACGAGGCACUACGGUGCUGAAGCAACAAAUGCCCUGCUUCCAGGAAAAGCCUCUAAGCAUCAGGUAACAUCAAAUCGUACCCCAAACCGACACAGGUGGUCAGGUAGAGAAUACCAAGGCGCUUGAGAGAACUCGGGUGAAGGAACUAGGCAAAAUGGUGCCGUAACUUCGGGAGAAGGCACGCUGACACGUAGGUGAAGUGAUUUACUCAUGGAGCUGAAGUCAGUCGAAGAUACCAGCUGGCUGCAACUGUUUAUUAAAAACACAGCACUGUGCAAACACGAAAGUGGACGUAUACGGUGUGACGCCUGCCCGGUGCCGGAAGGUUAAUUGAUGGGGUCAGCGCAAGCGAAGCUCCUGAUCGAAGCCCCGGUAAACGGCGGCCGUAACUAUAACGGUCCUAAGGUAGCGAAAUUCCUUGUCGGGUAAGUUCCGACCUGCACGAAUGGCGUAAUGAUGGCCAGGCUGUCUCCACCCGAGACUCAGUGAAAUUGAACUCGCUGUGAAGAUGCAGUGUACCCGCGGCAAGACGGAAAGACCCCGUGAACCUUUACUAUAGCUUGACACUGAACAUUGAGCCUUGAUGUGUAGGAUAGGUGGGAGGCUUUGAAGUGUGGACGCCAGUCUGCAUGGAGCCGACCUUGAAAUACCACCCUUUAAUGUUUGAUGUUCUAACGUGGACCCGUUACCCGGGUUGCGGACAGUGUCUGGUGGGUAGUUUGACUGGGGCGGUCUCCUCCUAAAGAGUAACGGAGGAGCACGAAGGUUGGCUAAUCCUGGUCGGACAUCAGGAGGUUAGUGCAAUGGCAUAAGCCAGCUUGACUGCGAGCGUGACGGCGCGAGCAGGUGCGAAAGCAGGUCAUAGUGAUCCGGUGGUUCUGAAUGGAAGGGCCAUCGCUCAACGGAUAAAAGGUACUCCGGGGAUAACAGGCUGAUACCGCCCAAGAGUUCAUAUCGACGGCGGUGUUUGGCACCUCGAUGUCGGCUCAUCACAUCCUGGGGCUGAAGUAGGUCCCAAGGGUAUGGCUGUUCGCCAUUUAAAGUGGUACGCGAGCUGGGUUUAGAACGUCGUGAGACAGUUCGGUCCCUAUCUGCCGUGGGCGCUGGAGAACUGAGGGGGGCUGCUCCUAGUACGAGAGGACCGGAGUGGACGCAUCACUGGUGUUCGGGUUGUCAUGCCAAUGGCACUGCCCGGUAGCUAAAUGCGGAAGAGAUAAGUGCUGAAAGCAUCUAAGCACGAAACUUGCCCCGAGAUGAGUUCUCCCUGAGACUUAGAGUCUCCUGAAGGAACGUUGAAGACGACGACGUUGAUAGGCCGGGUGUGUAAGCGCAGCGAUGCGUUGAGCUAACCGGUACUAAUGAACCGUGAGGCUUAACCUUACAACGCCGAAG